rnacentral:rRNA from 1 species
AGUCACUGACAUUAGAUACCCUUGUAGUCCAGGGUGUAAACGCUGCAGACUUGGUGUUGGGCCCUUUGGGGGCAUUCAGUGCCGGAGAGAAGUUGUUAAGUCUGCUACUUGGGGAGUACGUCCGCAAGGAUGAAACUUAAAGGAAUUGGCGGGGGAGCACCGCAACGGGAGGAGCGUGCGGUUUAAUUGGAUUCAACACCGUAAACUCACCAGGGAAGACUGUUACAUGAAGGCCGAGAUGAAGACUCUGCUAGAUUUUCAG